rnacentral:tRNA from 1 species
GCCAGUGUGGCUCAGUGGAUAGAGCGUCAGCCUGCAGGACUGAAGGGUCCCCCGGGUUCAAUUCUGGUCAAGGGCA